UACGAAGGGGGCUAGCGUUGUUCGGAUUUACUGGGCGUAAAGCGCACGUAGGCGGAUUGUUAAGUCAGGGGUGAAAUCCUGGAGCUCAACUCCAGAACUGCCUUUGAUACUGGCAAGCUAGAGUCCGGAAGAGGUGAGUGGAACUCCUAGUGUAGAGGUGGAAUUCGUAGAUAUUAGGAAGAACACCAGUGGCGAAGGCGGCUCACUGGUCCGGUACUGACGCUGAGGUGCGAAAGCGUGGGGAGCAAACAGG
rnacentral:rRNA from 1 species